AUUGAACGCUGGCGGCAUGCCUUACACAUGCAAGUCGAACGGCAGCACGGGAGCAAUCCUGGUGGCGAGUGGCGAACGGGUGAGUAAUAUAUCGGAACGUGCCCAGUCGUGGGGGAUAACGUAGCGAAAGCUACGCUAAUACCGCAUACGAUCUACGGAUGAAAGCGGGGGAUCGCAAGACCUCGCGCGAUUGGAGCGGCCGAUAUCAGAUUAGGUAGUUGGUGAGGUAAAGGCUCACCAAGCAGACGAUCUGUAGCUGGUCUGAGAGGACGACCAGCCACACUGGGACUGAGACACGGCCCAGACUCCUACGGGAGGCAGCAGUGGGGAAUUUUGGACAAUGGGCGCAAGCCUGAUCCAGCAAUGCCGCGUGCAGGAUGAAGGCCUUCGGGUUGUAAACUGCUUUUGUACGGAGCGAAAAGGCUCCCUCUAAUACAGGGGGCUCAUGACGGUACCGUAAGAAUAAGCACCGGCUAACUACGUGCCAGCAGCCGCAGUAA
rnacentral:rRNA from 1 species